rnacentral:rRNA from 1 species
AGGCCUAACACAUGCAAGUCGAACGGUCCCUUCGGGGAUAGUGGCGGACGGGUGAGUAACGCGUGAGGAUCUGGCUACAGGACGGGGACAACGAAUGGAAACGUUCGCUAAUACCCGAUGUGCCGAGAGGUGAAAGAUUUAUUGCCUGUAGAUGAACUCGCGUCGGAUUAGCUAGUUGGUGGGGUAAGGGCCUACCAAGGCGACGAUCCGUAGCUGGUCUAAGAGGAUGAUCAGCCACACUGGGACUGAGACACGGCCCAGACUCCUACGGGAGGCAGCAGUGGGGAAUUUUCCGCAAUGGGGGGAACCCUGACGGAGCAACGCCGCGUGGAGGAUGAAGGCCUUCGGGUCGUAAACUCCUGUCAGGGGGGACGAAAGCCUUAACGGGUUUGACUUACC